CUCCAGUUUAAAUUUACAACUCUACUGCACACAGCACUUGAAGGAACAACUAUGUGAUCAUAAAGACUUACAGAGGUCUGCGGGCGGUUAGCGGGAAGCUCUGUGAGUAUUAGCUGUGUUGUAGGAGCGGAUCGCCUAACUCACACCUGGUUGUGCUUGGAAAGGAGGAGUUCAGUCACAGAGGACAGACCGUAACCGGGAGCUUGUGCAACGCUGGCAAUAACCGAAGGAUUGAGUUGAAACAAGGCACGGGUGUCCACAUAACAGAGGCAAGAAGAGAGGAGAGGACUACACUACCCACAAUGCCGCUCAGUGCAAGGCUGUAGUGGUGAAACAAUCUGCAAACAUCAAACCAAACAGAAAGAAAGACACACUCUUGACAACUGUGAAUAAAAUGUUAUUCAGUCAACAGUAAAGUAACAUUAAACAC